GAGGGUAUAGCUCAGUGGUAGAGUGCAUGCUUAGCAUGCCCAAGGUACUGGGUUCAAUCUCCAGUACCUCCA
rnacentral:tRNA from 1 species